UGCCAAGGGAGAGUUUUGUUCAAUGGAUAUAUUCUCAUUGUGCCCAGAGAGAGAAAUAUCAGCCUCUACCCAGGAUCAAGCUCACAGCUUUCUGAUCAUGAGAUUUGGAGAAAUGAAUCCCAUCUUAUCUGGAUUGCUUUUGUGAAACUCUCUUAUCCCAUAUGGGUAUAAAGGAUUUAUAAAUAAUGAAAAGAGCAUAAAACAUACAAGAAUGUAAAGGUGGCAUCAUAGGUAUGUUGCAACUUCCUUUGGUGAAGCUGAACUAUCCAUCUUUACUAAAAAAAACCAACAACAUGUCAGUGUUUAAGAAAUUAUGAGCUGGGAUAUCAAUAACAAGAAGUCAGCCAAUGGGAACUGUUUGGUGACUAAGAAACAGGAUCUGUUGUGAGCCAUGGGAGACAGCUCGGAGCCUGGGUUUGGCUUAGCUUAACUGAUCUAUAUAUAAGAGUUAGUUUGUCCUUAGAUUAUAGCAUCUGUGAUUCUGUGCUUCUGUGACUUCUGGAUUCUAGUGUCUGCUUCUUGUCCUUGUCCUUGCUACCACGUUGCAAGAGCUGCAUGGGUAUUGUAUACAUGCAUCAUGUUUUAUAUUAUUGUUUCUUCUAUAAAUGAAUCCUCCUGAAGUAUUUACUUGUGUGCUGAUUGGAUUGCUGCAAACUGUGACAAAACAUAUCCAUGGACCUACAGAGGAAUGAAAGAACAAACUGUUUCCUAUUUCUAUGUUUAUUAUAACAUCAAAGUGAUGAGAGCACCAUAACUUUCUAUUAAAAAAAAUACAAAGGGCCUGUUCAGUUCAAAGGAGAUAAUGCAUAAAAGGGAGUGAAAGCAUUCAGUUUGAUCUUGUGAACCAAAUAAGGAAUGUACUGAGAAUUUAUUCAGGACAAAAUGAUUACAUGUGACUGAUGUUUCUAUUUAUGUGAUUUUUCUGGACUGGGUUUCUUCUAAACUGAAAAGUCUGCUAAGAUAUUUCAAAGAUCUGGAUGAGGUGUCAAAAUCUGCUAAGAGAAUGGUGAAUAAUAAGUAAUAGCCUUGUCAU